UGGGGAAUAUUGGACAAUGGGCGGAAGCCUGAUCCAGCCAUGCCGCGUGUGUGAAGAAGGCCUUUUGGUUGUAAAGCACUUUAAGCGAGGAGGAGGCUCUUAAGGUUAAUACCCUUGAUGAGUGGACGUUACUCGCAGAAUAAGCACCGGCUAACUCUGUGCCAGCAGCCGCGGUAAUACAGAGGGUGCGAGCGUUAAUCGGAUUUACUGGGCGUAAAGCGUGCGUAGGCGGCUGAUUAAGUCGGAUGUGAAAUCCCUGAGCUUAACUUAGGAAUUGCAUUCGAUACUGGUCAGCUAGAGUAUGGGAGAGGAUGGUAGAAUUCCAGGUGUAGCGGUGAAAUGCGUAGAGAUCUGGAGGAAUACCGAUGGCGAAGGCAGCCAUCUGGCCUAAUACUGACGCUGAGGUACGAAAGCAUGGGGAGCAAACAGG
rnacentral:rRNA from 1 species